CUUCUUUAUUUUGUUGAAAAUUUCAAAAAUUAAUUUUUAUGUUUGUUUUUUAAAAGUUUUUCCUAUUGACAUCUUCUGGUUUUUACAUUAUCACAGUUACACCCAAUACCUCUCCCACUUUCCCUCCCAGAGAGUCAUCCUAUAUAACAAAUAGUAUUUUUCCCAAAGAAAAAAAGAUCAGCAUGUUGAACAUGUGGAAAAAGUCCAAAAUCAUGCAGCAUGUGACAUCUGUGAACCUCCUACCUCUUCAAAGGGGUAGUUUUGGGGAUGUGAGGUGAAAUGGACCUGGAUACAGAAAACCCAGAAGCUUUAGGGGGACAAAUGAAGGAUUUGCCAAAACUGAACUGGCCAGAGAAGACCAACCCUGAUGAUAGCAUCUAUGUUUCACCUUUUAGAGAUAUAUAUUUCUCCUGAUAAACAAUUUUUUCAACCUCCAGCCCUUAACCCAACCGAAAAUUACCUAUCCCUGAGGACACAUGUCAACCUCAAGCCCUUUCAAGUCACUGAAGUCAUCACCUCCAGCUUUCCCUCCCAAAGUCACCUUUUCAUCAUGCUGAGAGCAAGUGGAAUUUGAUUUCUGGUCCCUGAUAACAGCCUUCUGGUUAAUCUAACACCAAGGAAGCUUUUUGUGUGUGUUGGAGGACUGCCUGGGAAGGUCUGAUUCCUGUUCCCUCUUCCUAGUUCUUCUGAGUAAAGGUAAGGUUUAGCUUUCCCCUCCUUUUUUCCCCCUUUCCUUUAAAGUUUGGAAAGUGCUGUUAGAAAGGCAAUCCCCAUAUUUGGGGUUUUUUAGUUUGAGGUUUGCCCCUAGAGAGGCAGUUCUUGGAUUUGAGUGUGGUUCAGGUUUAAGUUAAAGUUUUGGUUUUUUUUAAGUCACAACAGAUGGGCUUCCAACAAUAGAUACCUUCAAGUUCCCCCUUGGAUAGUUUUAACUACAUAGGAGCAGAGGAUGCUUCCAACAAGUUUAGAGAGUAACUAACAGCAUGCUGUUGUGACAUCUGGGGUUUCAUAAAACUAGUUUGUCACAGGACUCCCACUUUGAGCUUUCACUGGAGAUUAGGUUAUAAGAAAAGAGA
rnacentral:lncRNA from 1 species